GGUAACAUGAUCUGGAACAAUAGAUCUUUGGUGCGUGGUGGCCGUGUUUGCUGAUUCAUCCUAUAUCUUUCUAUCCAUCCAUAGAUAGUGCUUGCUAAGGAGAAAAGGAAAUUUUCAUAUUCGUCUAUUCAUUUCUUUCGAUUCAUCCACACCUUUCCUUUUAACACCUCUUUCUCUCUUCCUCCUAUUUUAUGUCAAAGUAAGAGCGUAACUAGGUCGUGGUAUAACGAUAUUCAACAGUAUGUUCGAAGACUACAGUUUUUCUAAACACUUCUCUUUGGGAAAUAACAAAGAAAGUGAUUUUGCCGAUUUUCUAUCUGAUCUAAAGACAAGACCUUUCUCUACUUUUAUAAACACCGAAGGUUUGGUGAUCUCCAAUAAAAACUACCGCUACGCUACAUCGUGUCUCGUGAGGACCCAAAUUCGCCUGUCUAUAAGUUGCCUACUUUGCUACAAGCUCCACAAAAUCAGCAGAAAGCUGCAGCACUGGAGAAAAGGGUCUCAGAUUUGGAAACAACGCUUAAAGACAAGGAGACGGACAUCACCGGGAAUAUGUCUUCGUCCAUUCAGCCGGAAGAAACAUCUCGUGCUUAGUUAUAUCAACUACUUCUGUUAAUUUUCUUUGGAGUUGUAUUUGCUUUUGUUUCUGCUAAUGCAUUAGGUGCGUGUGUCUUUUGGAUUUGUA